rnacentral:rRNA from 1 species
GAUGAACGCUGGCGGCGUGCCUAAUACAUGCAACUCGAACGAACAGAUGAGGAGCUUUCUCCUCUGACGUUAGCGGCGGACGGGUGAGUAACACGUGGAUCACCUACCUAUACGACUGGGUUAACUUCGCGAAACCGGACCUAAUACCGGAUAAUAUCUUGAACCGCAUGGUUCCUUAGUUAAAGACGGUUUUGCUGUCACUUAUACACGUAUCCGCGCCGCAGUAGCGAGUUGGUAAGGUAACGGCUUACCAAGGCAACGAUGCGUAGCCGACCUGAGAGGGUGAUCGGCCACACUGGAACUGAGACACGGUCCAGACUCCUACGGGAGGCAGCAGUAGGGAAUCUUCCGCAAUGGGCGAAAGCCUGACGGAGCAACGCCGCGUGAGUGAUGAAGGUCUUCGGAUCGUAAAACUCUGUUAUUAGGGAAGAGCAAAUGUGUAAAUAACUAUGCACGUCUUGACGGUACCGAAUCAGAAAGCAACGGCUAACUACGUG